rnacentral:rRNA from 1 species
GAUGAACGCUGGCGGCGUGCCUAAUACAUGCAAGUCGAGCGAACGGACGAGAAGCUUGCUUCUCUGAUGUUAGCGGCGGACGGGUGAGUAACACGUGGAUAACCUACCUAUAAGACUGGGAUAACUUCGGGAAACCGGAGCUAAUACCGGAUGAUAUUUUGAACCGCAUGGUUCAAAAGUGAAAGACGGUCUUGCUGUCACUUAUAGAUGGAUCCGCGCUGCAUUAGCUAGUUGGUAAGGUAACGGCUUACCAAGGCAACGAUGCAUAGCCGACCUGAGAGGGUGAUGGGCCACACUGGAACUGAGACACGGUCCAGACUCCUACGGGAGGCAGCAGUAGGGAAUCUUCCGCAAUGGGCGAAAGCCUGACGGAGCAACGCCGCGUGAGUGAUGAAGGUUUUCGGAUCGUAAAACUCUGUUAUUAGGGAAGAACAUAUGUGUAAGUAACUGUGCACAUCUUGACGGUACCUAAUCAGAAAGCCACGGCUAACUACGUG